UACGGGGGGGUGCGAGCGUUGUCCGGAAUCACUGGGCGUAAAGGGCGCGUAGGUGGUUUGUUGCGUCGGCUGUGAAAUCCCGAGGCUCAACCUCGGGUCUGCAGUCGAUACGAGCAAACUAGAGUGUUGCAGGGGAGACUGGAAUUCCUGGUGUAGCGGUGAAAUGCGCAGAUAUCAGGAGGAACACCGGUGGCGAAGGCGGGUCUCUGGGCAAGCAACUGACGCUGAGGAGCGAAAGCGUGGGGAGCGAACAGG
rnacentral:rRNA from 1 species